rnacentral:rRNA from 1 species
GAAGAACGCGGGCGGCGUGCUUAACACAUGCAAGUCGAACGGAAAGGCCCUGCUUUUGUGGGGUGCUCGAGUGGCGAACGGGUGAGUAACACGUGAGUAACCUGCCCUUGACUUUGGGAUAACUUCAGGAAACUGGGGCUAAUACCGGAUAGGAGCUCCUGCUGCAUGGUGGGGGUUGGAAAGUUUCGGCGGUUGGGGAUGGACUCGCGGCUUAUCAGCUUGUUGGUGGGGUAGUGGCUUACCAAGGCUUUGACGGGUAGCCGGCCUGAGAGGGUGACCGGCCACAUUGGGACUGAGAUACGGCCCAGACUCCUACGGGAGGCAGCAGUGGGGAAUAUUGCACAAUGGGCGGAAGCCUGAUGCAGCAACGCCGCGUGCGGGAUGACGGCCUUCGGGUUGUAAACCGCUUUCGCCUGUGACGAAGCGUGAGUGACGGUAAUGGGUAAAGAAGCACCGGCUAACUACGUA